rnacentral:ncRNA from 1 species
CUGAAGCAGGGGAGACCACUCUCCAACCCUAAAUACUACUACUACACCGAUAGCGAACCAGUACCGUGAGGGAAAGGUGAAAAGAACCGCAGUGAGCGGAGUGAAAUAGAACCUGAAACCAUUUGCCUACAAUCAUUCAGAGCCCUAUGAUUUAUCAGGGUGAUGGACUGCCUUUUGCAUAAUGAUCCUGCGAGUUGUGGUAUCUGGCAAGGUUAA